rnacentral:lncRNA from 1 species
GCAUCAAACUCAGAUUUUUUUUUUUUCAAUCAUAAGUCACAUGAUAUUUGCGGCAGUCAUUAUUGAUAGUAAAUUUUUAUCAAAAUUUUAUACAUAUGAUUUCUAUUUUUAUACAUAUAAUUAUAUUUCAGGAAAUAUGGUUUUGUGGUGUAUAGUGUAUAUUAUAUAUCUUUAUUCUAUCAUUUUUAGUGUAGUUGAUUUUUACUUUCCACUAAUAUUAAAUUUAUGUGCAAAAGAUUUACAAUGGAUUAUUUUUAAAUUUUUAUUUGGAUCACCAAAAUCUCUGAUCAAAAUAUUCUUCAAUAUUCUAAUCAAAAUCUCUUUUCAAAGUAUUCAAAAUCUCUGUAAAUAUUGUAAAACACUAAUUUAAAUAAACUCAGUUAAUUUUACUUUAUAAAUUGUUAGGAAUCUAAACGAGCACUUUUUUCCAAAAGUCGUAUGUGCAAAUGGAAACCACAUCAUAUUAACACCCUUCGAACUGUGGGGGCUGAUUUACUCUCAGGCAGUUCCCUUUCUGCAAGUAAAAUAGAAGAAGUGCUUAAAGGAACAGAAGUAUGGACUGAUUUUUCUAUAGCACAAAUUCGAACACGUGUGAAGCACGAGAAAGAUAUAUUUGCGAAGACUUGCAUUUGAUUUCACAAUUGUGAGUCUUCACAUUAAAAACUUAGUCUUCACAUUAGAAACUUAGUUUUAUAUUUUUUUAGGUUUUUAGUAAUAGUUUUGUUGGCAAGUUUAUUUAUGGAAUUGUCUUAAUGUUAUUUGUUUUGUUUUUCAACAAAUUUAGUUUAUUUUCUAGUUUUAAAAUAUUUAAGUAGCAUUUGUUAGCUUUGCAAAAUGACAACUUCAAAUUAAAUUUUGCUACUGCUGUAGUUUUUCUUGAUGUUUUGUUGAUAUUUCAGUAUUAUGCUUUGUAUAACUUGAGAGAGUGCUUUAACUAGUUUUACUUAGAAAAAUCCAGCAAAAUAUAAAGGCUUUAUGUAGACAAAGUUUGUGGUAUUUUUUUGGUUUUGUAAUCUAAAGUACAAAAAUGUACUGUAUAUCACUUAUUAAUAAAACCAAAGUGAAUUCAAUCGUUUACCAAGCUUUUUCGAAAACAUGACUAAUUAUUACAUACUUUACCAUACACUGUUAUAUCUAGUAUUUUGAUAAAUUUAUUAUUAUUUAUUUUUAGGUAAUUUUUAUUCAACUAAGUAUUCUAUCAAAUUUAUUAGAGAAAAAUCCAAGCUGAUCAUAAUUCUUCAAUGUGAACUUCUUAAAAGUUUACUUUUUAUGCAGCAAAAUAAAUUUAAAACACAAAAAAGAAAAACCCCAGAUUUAACAGAAGGAGUUUAAAAAUAAAUUCAACAUAUGGUAACAUGUUUCCUAUUUUCUAAUAUAGUAAAUAUAAAUUUUUUAGAUUUUUGAUUUUAGAAUUUAAAUUAUUUUUAGAUAAAACAAAUGGUGUGUAUUGUGAAAUAAACUUUGUGUAAAAUUAUAAAUAUUUAUUAAUGAUAAAUCAUUCUAUAUUAUUGCUGAACUUAACGCUGCUGCUCACCAUUCGUGCGCCUUUACACAGACUUUUUUACCAUACUUGGCCUUUCAUUUUUAUUAUAUCACGCAAUGAGGUACUUUCAAAUCUUAAAGAUCUGUCAAUAUCUGCCUAAUUAGUAAUGAGAUCAACUUUGCUUCAUCAGCUUAAUUAGUGAUAAGAUCAACAAUUUUUAUUUAAUAACUUCUGUAGUAAAGGAUAAACCUUAUGUUAUUUUUGAAUUAGUAAAGUAACUUUUAAAGUCAGGUGAUUUAUUUAAUUCAUGCAUUAUAACAAUAACGCAAUUCAAGUCCUUUGUCAAUUGUAUUUAAAGUAUAUUAAUCUGUAAUUUUUAAAUUAGAAGGCGAUGAUGACUCAAGAAAACGUUGCUCUUUUCAAAUGCAAGAGGUCAAACUUUUGAUAAAGUUAGUGCUUAUCUUCAAAACCCUUGCAUCUCACACGGUCAACUCGAUGUUACAUGUUAAAGAAUAAGAUCGUUUAAUACCUUAUUUAAAAGAAGUUACAAAAAAAAUCCGUUUGCUUUUAUAUAAAAAACCAGAUCGUUUGAUCGUUUGUUUUUGCAAGUUGUUAAACAUUUAUUACAAGAUUUUGACUAUUAACAAUGCUUUAGAAAAAACAUCAGCAACAGAUAAAUUGCAUAUUUCAGAACAAAUAGAGAGACCCUAACCCACAUCUCCUAAGGUGGGGGCCCAAGUUUAGGGCAAAAGCUCAACCCUCCUUUUGUGUGUGGAUCCUGCUGAAAGUAAAAUAUGAGGAGAUGGAGAGCGGUGGGAAAAUAAUACGCUACAUCUUAGUAAUUUUUAUAGUUGGUUAAUCUACCAAUUGUUAAUUGAUGAUGCAGAUGCAGUUAAAUUUUUUUCUGCAAAUAUAACUUUUCUUUACA